CUUGACCGACCCCAGCCAGAGCGGCGUCUCCCGAUCCUGACCGUACGUGGCCAGCAAUGCCUGCGCCUC
rfam:Streptosporangium subroseum strain CGMCC 4.2132 genome assembly, contig: Ga0079903_1090